GACAUUUUCUUCCUCACAGAGUUGAAAGGUUCAACCUUAAGAAUAUUAACCUCUCUGCGCACGGCAUCAAAAUCACCACCCAAAAGUAAACCAAAUUCUAAUAAUGCUGACUCUGUUGGUGUCCCCAAAAUGGAGGUCUUUCCAUCUUCCUUAAUAACCUCAGAGCUUGUAUUUUGGAAUAUAACCUGUAAAAGGAUGCUUGAUGCUCCAGAUAUUUCUGAACUCAAUAUUUCUUUACUCUCGUUACCUUUUACAUCUAAAGGUUUUUCACAUAUCCAUAUCUUGUUAACUACCAUGUGGUUUGUGGUUAAUGUCCCUGUUUUAUCUGUGCAAAUGCAACUAGCAGAACCCAUUGUCUCACAUGCUGAGAGAUGCCUUACGAGUGCCCUAUCAUUCAUUAAUUUUUUCAUAGCAAAAGCAAGGCUCAGCGUCACUGCCAAUGGUAAUCCUUCGGGAACUGCAACAACAAUUAUAGUUACCGCAAUAGCAAAGUAGUUCAAUAGGAUUACUGCAUCAGUUGAAGACCAAUCAGUGAUCUCGUUGUUAAGUAUUUUUUCCACCAAAAAUCUUACUGCCAAUACCAAAAAUGUCAACACAGCAAAACUCAGACCAAUUUUACCAAUAAUUGUAGCAACACCAUUCAGCUUUACCUGCAGUGGGGUCUCAUCUUCUCCUCCUUCACUCAGAGUUUCCAUCAACUUUCCCCAUUCAGUUCUCAUACCAACUGUUGUCACCAGCAUUAUACCUGACCCAUCCUGCACUUUAGUUCCUGAAAGAAGAAAAGGCUUCUCUUCAUAUACAUUGACCGGCUCACUCUCACCUGACAAGCUUGACUCAUCAAUCAGCAAAGAGUAUCCUGAUAUGAAAAUCCCAUCAGCUGGAACUUGGUCCCCAAUUGACAAAUGGACAAUAUCUCCAACAACCAAGUCAUAAAUGGAAACUUUUUGUCUUUUUUUAUCCCUAGUGACCUGAACAAAAAUCUUUUUCUUCUCCCUGUCCAAAUCCUUGAAUUGCAACGACUGUCUGUAGUCACUAAUGGCAGUAACCAUAACCACCAAAACUAUACUAAUUAAAAUUCCCACACCAUCGUACAUGCCUUUUGGCCACCCCUCAGUGGCAAUUCCAACUCCUAUUGAAACCACAGCGCAUACCAUAAGGAUAAUUAAUGUUAAGUCUUGUAGGGCUUCCCAUACAAACACAAAAAAUGUUCGGGGAGGUUUCUCCGUAUAGCGGUUUAAGCCAUAAACAUUUUGCCUGAUUGGUAUGUUACUAUCCUUGACACCUUCAUCUAGCGAGACAGAGACUUUCCUUAAAAUCCCAUGAAUUCCACCAUGCAUUUUCAAGGCCUUAAUAUCAUGGCCACGCGUGAUAGAUGCAAGUUCAUCUGGGUGAAUGCUGAAACCUGAGGUUCUGGCAUCUUCAGACAGCUUGUAUUCAUCCUGUCUUGGCUUUUCAUUGGAUCGAUCACCAGCACCAGCUUCAUAAGAUCACAUAACAAAGUGAGAGAAGGAAUGAAUACAUGACAUCAGCGGACACAUAAUGAACUUUUACUUGACCUAUAAACUUAAAGAUAAUACCAUCAAUAAACUGCAGUGCUGCUUUCUGAACGUAAAGAGCAACUCGAAUCUUUUCCUGGUAAAACAAAGAAGAAUAACAAAGUCAAAAAACAGAUGACAAUCAUAGUCCCCCAGAACUACGGUAGCAGCAAAAGUUCACAAGUCAAAGUCUUCAACUGAAAAUAACAGAUAACCACCGAGUAUAUUCAAACAUAUACAGUAUAUUAUGGGAGAAUUCAAAAGCCUAUUCUUCAAUUUUGUUUGUUUUGAACAAAAUAAUCUUCCGUGUUUAAAAUAGUAUAUUACGGGAUUUCAACAACUAUCAUGAUCAUUUGGUGGAGUAAUGGGAUUUCAAAAGAUAGUAUGACCAACAAGAUUUUCAGGCUAUAAGGAAAAAAACAAUCAUGAAUCCUAGUAUUUAGUAUUAACCCUAGGAUUUAUUAUCACGCAAUAAAUCAAAGGGUCCUCAAUUCUUUAGCAUGACCCUAGUAUUAUACCAUAAAAUCAAAAUUAAAACUAAGUUUUUUAGGCCCAUAAGAUACUAUUUUGAAGUAUCUUUCACUUUCAGCAUUAAUAUAAUUUAGCAAAUUUCACUUGAAAGUUGGAAGUUGGAGCUAAUAUAUAUUUUCUUUUUAAGAAUUACUAGAAUUUAACAUACUGUUUUCUAAUACACGAAAGCAUACAUUGGUGCUGACAAUUAUUAUUUCAGAAAGAUGACCAAAUCCGUGUGUGCACCGUGUUUGACUGAAAAUCACAAUCAACUGAAAUUAAACAAAUAGUUGAGCAUGAUCUGCCAACUCCUGCAACCCCUUUUUGGGUUUUAUAAUCAAACAAGACGUUAAUGUAAAAACAAUUUUUCUUGAUAAUUUAAUAUGAUUCAUAAUACUCCUUACCAAAACAAUUUUUCUGAAUGUUUGCAUUAAACCAUUUUCUGAUAUUUUGAAUGUCUCACAAUUCUUUGCUUUUUGCCCAUAUAUAUAUAUAUAUAGAAGAUAAAACAGAAAGAAGCUAAUCUUAAUAUUUUAAGAUUCGAGUGUGUGAAAUAUCAUCUAUAGAAAAUUUAAAGAGCCCACGAUGCCCCCACUUGGGUGACCCAGCCACCCAUUUUAAGGAUCAAAUUGGACAGGGACUCGGCCAAUAAUCUCUGGCCAAUAAUCUCUGUCAAUAGCCAUCCGCUAUCAACACGGCGAUACCCUCUUGUUUUAAAGUCAUUAUUUUUGACUUUUUUGUCAUGCGAAAGUUCCUAGAAAAUUCAUCCCUUGCCAUUAUCGAAAGAUGUAGUCAGAAAGGUCUUUUUCUUAUAUUCGUACUACGCGUCGUCGUUAUGUAAACCAUGGACUACUCUGCUACGCGUCGUUUUCUGUUGAGGCAAACGAAAUUAAACGCAAGAAACAUAGUGAACCCAUCAAUACAAUAGUACAAAAGGUCGUCAGUCGAACGUGAGCCCCACCUGGCAUGGGGGCAUCACAUGGAAACGGACGGGCAUCGAAAAACAGUAUUAUAAUAAAGAAAGGUUGAGAACAAACGUGGGACCACACACGCCUCCUCCUGCUUCUCUUUCUUUCUUUCAUUUUGUGAGUUUUAAUUUACAACCUACGAUUAGCGAUCACUGAAUUUUUAGCAGUCCAAAUUACUCAAAUUAAAAUAUGAAAAUCGUUUUAAUUUCUUUUGUUUUCCUACCUUUUUUUUCUCGGUAACCAAACAAAAUAAAAACAAAAUCGUAAUCAAAAUAAAAACGUAAAAACUGCAUAUUUUUAGCAGCAAAACCUCUAUAAACGGCGGCGUGUUCAUAAUUUUUUUUAUUUUUUUUAUAACGAAAUCAAAAUAAAAACGCAAUAACUGCAUAAGCUGAGAGAGAGAGAGAGAGAGAGACCUGGAUUUGACGCUUCUUCCUCUCGGCCUCGGACCGCUUAGCGAGAUCGGCCACGAAGCGGAACCUCCUGCGACGGUUCUUGACGAGCGCGACGGCUUUUCUCCAUCUCCGAAUAGUUUCCUCCGAAGGAUUCUUGCUCUCCACCUCGAAGUCCUUCAAGUACCUCUCCAUUUCCACUGUUUUUUUCUCUGUCCUCACAAUAUUCAGAGAGACGCAGAAAAAGAGAGAGUCGCUCAGAGGCGAAGACUAGAGGGAGAGAGGGAAGGGAAGGGGAACGGGAAGCCAAAGGUGUGAGUCGCAGACUUCUAAGCCAAAGGAGAAGAUUCCGUACAUGUGCGUACAAAAAGGUUUGUCCUGGGGCCUGCCGUAGAUGGAGGCCACGUCACGUGGUUUACCGUGUUGGUGGGAUUAUUUAAUCAGAGAAUAUUGUUUAUGUGUGCAUUAUUUGUGGGAAAAGUGUUUACUUUGAUUUUCUUGUCACGUGAUUUGACAGAUUAUACAAAUUACAAAGUGACACUAACUUUCCCUUGGGGAUUAAAUUAUUGCGAAUUAUGAUUUUGCUUUUCUCGCCACAUGAUUUUGAUUUGGACUCAUCACGUUUGUCUUUUUUUUAAAAAAAAAUUUUUAAUUUUUAAUUCUUAAUUUUUUGCGAAAAUCACGUUAGUAGUGAAGAAGUAUCCCAGACUUUUUAGCUAUAAAGAAAAAACAAUUUAACUUGACCAAAAUACCCUAAUUCUGGAAUUCUCUAAGUUUGACUUAGCAUUAUAGGCUAAAAUAUAAGAAAAAUUAGUGUAUAUAAUAGACUAUAGUUUAGUGUUUGCCAAAAAAAGAGAGUAUAGUUUAGUGAUAAAAAAAAAUUAAUAAUUAAGAUAUCAUAAAUUAAGUAUUUUGCUUUUGAAUUUGGUGAAUGAGUUUUGAAUUUUGUUUUAUAAUAGGACAACAAUGUGGCCCAAAUUGAAUGGAGUAUUUAAAUUCAUAGGAGAAAAGACAGGUUUGCUCCUCUUAAUUUAAGAGGUUUUUCUCAAAAUAAAAUUAUUUGAGAGACCUCAAUAGAUAAGGACUGUAUAUAUAUAUUAGCCCCUUAGCAUAUGCUCACGCAUGUGCCAAUUGGUUCUUUAUUUUAUUUUAUAGAAUUAAAAAAGAUAAUAGGAAGUUGUGUUCCAUAAAAAUAGGACUCAUUACCUGAUUUUGUUUCUAUUUAAAAUAAAAUUAAUAUGAAAGAGUGUGAAUUUACCAUAUUAUCCUCAUUAAUAAUUUUAAUUGUUGAUGUUUGCAUUAACCAAUGACAUUUUAUGGUAUGAAAAUGUGAAAAAUAGAUGGUUUUGAUCAUUGAAUUUUUUUGUUUUUGUUUUUGUUUUUUUGUAGGUGACUCUAAAAGUUGUCCCUCAAAUUUAUUUAAGGAAACCUUCAAUAGAAGGAGACUGUAUAUGGGGUCUUUCUUCGUUACGGAGUCCACGAUGCGGAUUGGUUACGAAUAUCUAUUUUUUACCAUACGAUGAUACCAACUUUCAACGCUUCAUUUAUUCUUUUUUUCUUUCACCGAGUUCAAUCUUCUCUCUCUCUCUCUCUCUCUCUCUCUCUCUCUCUCUCUCUCUCUCUCUCUCUCUCUCCCUCUCCUCCUUUUUAAUUCUUUCUUCCGUUUUCUUUCCUUUCCUUCUCUCUUCUCUCUGUUUCCUGCGUUUAUCCCUUUAUCUCUCUGACAAAUCAUGUUAGUAGCCAUGUCAUGGAGUAAAUCAAUUUUGUUGGAUGAAAACAUUUGAAAGUUUCAAGGAAAAAAAAGCUGCAAAGUGAUUGUAAGGAGAAGUUACGGGAACCGAAAUUCCAAGAAGCAUCAUAGGAUUGAAUCAUCAGUAAUGGGUGUUAUAGAUUAUAGCAGAGAAAAUCAAGGAAAGAAAAAACUCCUUAUCUUUCUUUCUUUCAUUUUGUGAGUUCUAAUACAAAAUGCUCAUCUAAAUAAAUAUCAUCCAUUCUGUUUAGGCUUAAAUUCCACACGCCAACCCAAUUGACUAUUAACCCAUAUCAAAAACAAGAGUUUGGGCUUUGUUUUGUUAAAAUCAAAAGUCAGCCCAGACGUUUGCGAACCAAUUUGCAAGGAAUAAAUUUACAGAUUAAAGAUUAAUUUCCAUUAAUGGUGAUUUAAUUUGGACAAAUCAGUUUCUAAUUGGCUUUAAAACUAAAGCCUAGCUUCUAAUCUCUCCAAAGGCUCAAAAUUUGAUCAUCACCGUUGAUCACAAUUUCAGAAAUCAAGUCAGCAGAUUUUGAAAAAUCUCUCUCCACAAAGCCCACGUGACUCUAAAGUCAAGGUGUCAACAGGGCAGAGGAAGUGAUGGGGAGUUGGUAGAAGGGUUAAUCGGAAAACCACUCCCCAUAACCAUUUAAUGCCACAAAAGGAGGGCCAAGUUUCCUUUCUAUGCUCGUGAAGGCUUCGCAUAAGAGCAAGUUGGGUUUACAAAAGAUUUGCAAGAGAGAGGAGAGUUGGUUGUCAGAAGAUCAAAAUUGAGCAUCAUGGAAACUAACUGCUGAUGGGUUUUCUUGUCAGACUAAUUACUCCCCUCUUUUGCAUUGGAACGGAAAAUCCUCUCAACAAAUUUGUCCUCCAGAUAUUAAGGAAUAAACGCUCAUUCAGAUUCUCCAUAAAUAUGAAAGAAGGUGAACAUGAUGAAAGACAACCAACAAUUCAAUCAAAACAAAAACUCUCAAGUUAUACCGACAAACUCAAACAUAUCAUAUGAUCCCAAAAGCCUUUAGACUCUGAAGCAACCAAGCUCUUUGAUUUAUAAAAGACAUCCAGUCUCUGACAAAACAAGCAGAACUCAGGUGUCUGACUUCAGUUCAACUUAAAGAAGUAAUUCACAAAGAAAACGAGAUUUCUCUCAUUACAAAUUUAGUUCAGCAUAUGCCAAUCAAGAAAAAUUCAGGUUUUUCAUAAUAUGAAAACCUCAACAAAUUUACAAGGAUGCCUUGAUAUCUGAGAAUCAUCAGAACAUAUCACAAGUGAUCCACAAUUAAGCAGAACAGGUGCUGAAGUGUAGUUCCGGACCAGAAAUUGCCAAUCCAGCCACUCCAAUCCAAUCCAGACUGAAGAAAUCCCAGUUCUGCCCAUCCAACAAGCCUUUUCAUGGCUAAAAUAGAUUAAAACUUAAUUUCCAACUGAACCUCAUCAGUUGAAGGUGCUGAUGUUUGAAUCCAGCACAGAUACAUCUAGUCCAGCCUGAGUCACAAGCAACAAUCGAAGCAAAAAUCGAAGCCUAAUGUUCUGUUGUCAUUUCAUAUGUGGCAGUUCCCUUUUGUUUUAAAAUGUGUAACAGGCAGUUCUCUUUAAAACAGUUUGAUUUAUUUUCAAUAUUCAUUUUGGCUAGAACUGCUAGUUUUUACUAUGAGAAAUUGGGAAGUCAUCACCAGUCUGAGGCAAGAAAAGAACUUACUUGGAAGAUAUUCCUCACCCAAAUUCAUAAUCACUUGUUUAAAGUCAGUAACUUGGGGCACAAGUUAUCUAUUUUCAUAAGUCUGUUAGAGUAUUGACCACUAACAGUGGCAUGCCCUCACACUAAAGAAAGUUGACUUGUUGACCAUAAAUGGUUUUCAAGUCAAUGGGGAAUUUUACCAUACCAUCACAGGAACUAAAUCUAAACGAGUGAACAAUUUGGCACGCACGGUGGGACCUCACAAUAUACAUACUCCUAAAAACACUUUUUAGUGUAUGAAUAUUGGAAGUUCAAGCCAGAACCCACGCUUUGCCAUGGAAAGAGAUCAACCAGCUUUCCGAGAAGAAGGACAUGAAUCAGAAGAGAGUGAUGCUAGGCAUUCAGCUUACGGCAAUACCAGGAGUAGAUGUUCCCGAUCUAGCUCCAAAAUGAUAAACCAAAUACAGGAGGCUGUGCUUCGAUAAGAAGCUGCAGCACAAAUGAGCCAUGACAAUCUGAACAACAUGACAGCCAUGAUGCAAUGGCAAGUCAAUAGGCAGUUUAGGAAGGAUCGUGAGGCUGCUAUUACGAGGAAUCCAGAUCCAGACAAUGUAGUCCAGCAACUAAAACUCCCUUUCGGACCUCCACUAGGAUUGGCAUGGCCAUACCAAGAAAAUCCCCUCAUUGCAUAGAUAGCUGGAGUACCUGGAGUAGUAGAGAUCCAGGCUGGACAAAGGGGAUGAGCCUUUGUCACCCAAGAAUAGGAAGCUCCAAUUCUUCCACUAGGCCCAGCACCAGUUCAGGCUCCCCAGAAUCAGCCAAAACUUCCAGUUGUUCCAUGGCCAGAGAUUCCACAUGGCCAGUUAGUGGCACACCUGCCUGAACAGCCAAUAAUGUUGCCUUAUAGAUCUAGAAGAAUGAUCCCAAUCCAUUUACCCAACUAGCAAGAAGUAGAAGAGGCAGAUGAGGAAUUAAUCCUUUCGCUAACAACGACAGGAAUAAGCUAUGGGCAAACUGGAUGAAUCAUCCAGAUUUCGAAGAAGAUGAAGAAUAUAGGGAGGAGGUCAUACCCAGACCAUACAAAAUUGAACAGAGGGCUGAACAGAAUUAGCCAGAACAGGGACGGAACUUACCUCAUGUUAACGCUUUGAAUGACAUGGGGGCACUACAAAGAAUGAUUAGAGAGAUGAUGGAUCUUGAGGUCAGAAAAGGAGAAAGGCCCACUUACAAGAAGCCAUAUCCAGCUUACAUUAAUCAGAUGCCUUUACCCCCUGGUUUUAAAGUACCAACUUUCACUUUGUUCAAUGGAGAAUACGCUCAUGCGUCAUCAGUCGAACAUAUAGGCAAAUUCCUUGUCUAAUGCAUAGAUAUAGAGAAUAAUCCCUUAUUGAAGCUUAGGCUUUUUGGGAAUUCCCUGUUCGGACAAGCUUUUACUUGGUAUACCAAUUUACCAACCAAUUCUAUCCAGACAUAGGAGCAGAUGGAGAAUGCUUUCCACGACUAUUAUUUCAGAAUCCAGCCAGAAGUCACCAUAAGUGAUCUUGCGGCUCUUAAACAGAGUGAGGAUGAACCUGCCUAGGAUUUCAUCACCAGGUUUAGGAAACUCAAAAUGAAGUGCAGAAUCCCCUUGGAAGAAAGGCCCAGAUGGCUCAGACCACCCUCAAUAUUUCUCUAAGAAAGAGAUUCGAUGGAAUGGUGUUUGGAGACUUGGCAGAAUUGGCAGAUAAAGCUUCCAAGUAUGAAAGAAUUGCUAAGGGAAGAGCAGCAGAAGAGAAAUUCUUCCAAAUGCGCAUAUUACAAGACACCAUCUUCCUCAGUCCAUUUGGUUGAGGUAGAAUCGGAAGAAGAUUAAGAAAGUUCAGAAGAAAUAGAGGUGCAUCUAUCAAUCUACUACCUCAUAGACUAUUGGUUAAGCUGGACAGAACAGAAAAAGACUAAUCCCAACGCGUCUUUGUUUGGGCCUAAAUUCAGCACGCCAAAAUACAAAAGACAGGCCCAUGGUGAAAAUUCCUGCCCAGCCCAAGCUGUCCAGACAGGUUGGGCUUCACGCCAAAAUGUCGAAAACGAAGCCCCAGCCUAAGAAAGACCAACGUGGAAACUUUCAAUUGGGCUUCAAGGAUCAGCCCGUAAUUUUUGUUAGGUUCAAACCCAAGGGAUCAAAAACACACCCACGUGAUUACCUCAACUUUGAAAAGUCAGCAAUUCCAACUAAGUUUAAAAUAUGAGAGGGAUAUCUCUGAAACACUGCCAACAGAAGAUCAAAACCCAUCUGUGUUCGAGAUUUUGCUCCAAAUCAAUACACCAUCUUCCAAGGAAUUCACAGGUCACGCUUCCUAAAUUAGAACGGGAAACAGGGAGCUGUUCAGAAAAUACAAAAGAAAAACCAAACCGCCAUAAAAAGCCUACACAGACGGUGGCGUUGGUUGAAAUAGAAAGCUACCACCCAGGAAACCAGGGAAGGGACUGCUUUAGGAGGUGACUACUGAGAGCCUAUCUGCCAUGAUUGACAAGAAUCCCUUUUUUACUUUACAUUAUAGGAGAUCUUUUUGCUGCCCAUUAUUUAGAAUUAAAAUCACCUCCCCAAGAGGUUCUCUUAUAAAAACGAAAGUAGGCAAGGAAGAAAAGGACACCCAACAACAACAAAAAAGAACACUCAAUUCAUCAAUCAAACAAUCAGAAAUCAACCAAAGGCAAAAAACUCAAAACGAUCACUUGAUCACUGAGAACCUUCAAACAAACUGGAGCAACCAGAAGCUCAUUUGAGCCACACAAGAAGCCAGCUAUAGAUCAGAACUUCCAAAGUUCAGACUUAGCGAAAUAAGUCAUUCAAAACGAGACUUCUCUCGUUACAAAUUUGGUUCAGCUAAAGCCAAGACAAGCAGAGUUUGAGUUUUCACAAAUAUGAAAACCUCAACAAAUUUUACAGUGCAGUUCCAGCUUGCUAAGUCCUCGAGAACAGCCACUUCUGCCCCUUCAAACUGAAGAAGCUGCAGUUCUGCCCACUAAAAGGCCUCACGAAGCGUGAAGUAAACAUAAAGCUCUGCCAAAAUCGAACUUUGGUAUCGAUUCAUAGCUCAGCCUGGCAUCUGAAGUCACGAAGCAGUACGGACCAACCCAGGCGUGUCCAGUCCAGCCCAAGCUAGAGCCUUCCAUCCAAGCAGAAAUGGAGUUCCGGCCAUCUUUUAACCUUCCUAGCGUCAAUAUGCAUAUCUAUUGUUUUGUAAAAGGCAGUUCUGCCUAAAACAGCCCAACUUCUAUCAAAUAUUUCUGGCCAGAACAGCCAUUUGAUACUGAGAUAAAUUUUGAAAGUCCUCACCAGUCUGAGGCAAGAAAAGAACUUACUUGGGAGAUAUUCUUCACCCAAAUUCACAAUCAUUUGUUUUAGAAGUCAGUAACUUGGGGCGCAAGUUAUCCGCUCUAAAAAGAAGUCUGUUAGAAUUUACAUUGCUAGCAGUGGCACGCUCACACACCAAAGAAAGCUGACUUGUAGACCAACCAAUGGUCUCCAAGCCAGUGGGGAACUUCGCCCUUCCACCUCAGGAGUAAACAUGAAAACGGGUGAACAGUCUUACAGUCACCAAUUUCGCUGGGGGCAUCACCAAGACCCAUAGGAUAUUGGAUGUGGAUGUCACGGUAAGAACCAAGAAGCUGAAGAUUGUUUUCUUUGUGGUAGACACCACUUCUACCACUUACAAUGCAUUACGUGGAGAGAUUGGAUCCACCAAAGCUUAUGUGUUCCUUCCACUCUACACCAACAGUUGGCCCUCUGGCAUUAAAAGGGUUUUAUGAAGAGAAUAGAGGCUGAUCCACUGUCAUUUUUGCCAUCUGCAAAUUUUUUUGCAGAUCAUCCAGGGGAAGAGAUUGAGAACAUGGAUUCCAUGGAUAUAGCCAAUGCAGAUCUGCUGAGUAGAGCUCACACCUAUCUCAAUAAUCCCACCCAUUGGAAGUUGUAUUUUGAUGGGUCUAAAACUAACCUGGCUUCUAGAGCAAGAAUUAUUUUAGAAGAUCCAUUAGGAAUCAAACACUGUUAUUCAUUCGAGCUAGAUUUUCAGUGCACCAACAACAGUGCAGAGUACGAAGCUUUGAUCAUUGGCUUCGAGAUGCUUGGAGAUUCCGUGCUUGUUAUGAAGCAGAUUGCUGAAGCAUACAAGUGUUUGAAUCCUUCCUUAACUGUUUAUUUGCUGGCAGCCUAAAAUCUCCUGGCAGAAUUCAGGGAAGCCACUUGGGAACAUAUUCUAAGGGAAGAGAAUUUUGCAGCCAAUGAAAUGGCUCAAAUAGCAACAGGAGUGCAAAUACCUGAAGACUGCAUACAGAGAAUCAUCAAAGUAGGGAAGAAGAGUCUACCAUCUGUUCUGACCAGGGGAAUGGAGAUAGAUGUCAAUUCUACCAUAAUGACUGAGGAGGAUUGGAAAUUGCCUAUAAUUAGUUAUUUGCAGUAUCCAACCAUUCCUUCCGAGAAGAAGAUAAGAAUCAUGGCUUUGAACUAUCUCAUGUGGAAUGGAGACUUUGUCCGAAAGAGCAAGGAUGAGCUACUCUUGAGGUGCUUGGGGAAGGAAGAAUACAUGAAAGUAAUGGGAGAAGUCCACGAGGGAAUCUAUGGAGCUCAUCAGAACGGAAGAAAAAUGUGCUGGCUGAUCAAAAGGUAUGGUUAUUUCUGGCCUACCAUGGUGAAAGACUGCAUAGAAUAUUCUAAAGGAUGUGAAGCUUGCCGGAAACAUGGACCAAUCCAGCAAGCUCCCUCAGUUCCUAUGAAUCCAGUUGUUGAGCCAUGGCCAUUCAGGGGAUGGGCAAUGGACCUCAUUGGUAAGAUCUAUCCAGCCAGUAGCAAACACCACUGUGUCAUCACUGUGGCUACAGAUUACUUCACUAAGUGGGUGGAGGCUAAACCAGUCAAAUCCACUACAUCUCAAGAGAUCAUCACUUUCAUUGAGGAGCAGAUUGUACACAUGUUUGGCAUACCUGAAUCAAUUACAACUGACAAAGGGACUUCCUUCAUAUCCAGGGAGAUGCAAGAUAUGGCAAGUAGGCUCAAGAUCAAAUUACUAUGCUCAGGCAAAUGGAUAGGCAGAAUCAAGCAAGAAGGUGAUCAUUAAUAUCAUCAGGAAAAUCCAAGGCAAUGGCAUGAAAAGUUGUCAGAAACCUUAUUGGCCUCUAGAACUUCAAAGAGAGAGGCAACUGGCAUGACCCCAAUAUAAAAUGGAUAAUUCUAAGGAAAUAAUAUAUAAUAGUAAAGGGACAAGAACAUUGCUUUAGAUACAUAACGUACAUAAAGUAAUAAGUCCAUGAAUUAAGAUAUAAAUGGAAAGUGGUCCAAAGAAGUUAGAUACACGAGACAUUUCCAUACAUAUAAAUAUCGUAUCCUAAAAUGUUCAUGGUCAUAGGAUCACCAAUUGGACAAUGGUGACCUGCAAAGGCAAGUACACAUUAUGUCUGCUCAAUUGAGAGGAUGACUAGUUUCAAGUCAUUCGUGUAGAGACAUUGAGACAGAUGUGUAGGUGCUCUAUAGAAGAUGAAGUCCACUGAACGCGAUCAACUCUAGAAUUCUUGUAUGGAAGUCUUACUCACAAGUGUCAAACAAAGAAUUCUAAGUUGUGAUCAUGCAAAUUAAUCCUUAGACCUGGGACAUCACAGUUGUCUUUGUAUAUGUUGUUUCUCUUUGAGAGCACUAUACGGUCGUAUCAAAAUGAUGUGACUUAAAGGUGUUCCUCAGGAUUCUCAGCGUGUACGCAGAGACAGGUGAAUGUACAACAAGGAAUCUCUACUCUUAAUAAGGAGAGAAUACUCUAAAGAUAUGAUUCGUGAAUCUUUGGCCAAAGUAUUGGAUGGACAUUUAAACAAGAACGUUUGCAAUUUCAUCAAAUUGAAUCAUAUAAUCAAGAGAUGUCAUAUUAGAGAUUUUGACACAAGUUUACCAUAUCCCGAGAAUAUGACAUAAAGUAUUGAACUAGAGAAGGAUCAAAUUGCAUUGUAAUAAUAAACUGACUAGGUUCUCUGAAUGAAUUCUUUUUAGCUAGGGUAGCCAUGACAUACUACUAGGUGUCACUCAUGGCUUGUGGAAGCCCUGUAAGAACUAAUUAUAAUUAGCAUUCACCAAUAGGGAGAAUUGUAUGGAGGGAUACAAUUCACACUUGAUUCAGAGUGAAUCAAUCAUACCCACUGCCUCGCUAAUUAGAACCUAUAAGAUCGCACACCGAAAAGGAAUCGAUUGGGAAAUUAUGAAGAGAAUGAAUGAUUUUGUGACUUGGUCAAAGUCAAUGUGAAAGUCAAAGGUCAAAGUCAAAAGUCAAAGGUCAAAUGGUUGACCCGACACUUGACACGGUCAACUAAGGAUGAUCGGGACCAACACUCGUUAGACAAGGGAGUGAUUGAAUUAGUCAAGUCACUAGAGUAAUUAAAUUGAUUAGAUUAAUUUAAUAUUCAAUUAAAGUUAUGAAACUUUAAUUAAAGAUCCCAUAUGGCGUGGAAAUUCGAAAGGGAUUUGACCAUAUGAACUUAGGCACAUAUGUGACAUAUUAUAGGAUUAAUGUGUUGGGCCAAGAUAGAAAAAGAUGAAACAAAAAAAAAUGGGUGUGGCUACACUAGGCUUGGGGGCAUUUUUGUCACUCUUGUUACAUUUUUUUAUCCUAUAAGUGUGUAGCUAUAGAGUCAUAUCAUCCUAGGAUUUUUCAAGUUGGUCAAUUGGAAGAGAGAAAACAUCAAGCUCUCUCUCCUUAACCCCUUGAAUCUAUCACAUAAAGUAAAGGUGCUAGCACCACUCUUCACUUGUUGUCUACUCAUUCUCUCAUCCCAUUUAAUUAUUGGUGAAGAGCUUUGGGGAGGUGCAAAUCUUUGUACCUAUUUGGAGAGCUACAAGAUGGAGAAUCAACAUCAAAGGGACCACUCCCUCUGUUAAACAACCCGCACACUAGAUGUUGUUCUUUGAUGUAACCAGCUGCAAUAGACUAAACUAGCAAAUAUUAAAAUACUUAGAAACACACAAGAAUUAUACUGGUGCGGCAGAACUUUUGCCUACGUCCAGUUGUGAUUUCUUUAGGUAGAGAAAUCACUGCUCUUUUGAUUAAUAAUAGAGAUUACAGAACUUUUGCAACCCUAGAACUAAUCUCAAAACUCACGGCUGUCUCUGGCUAUUUUUCACCUGUAAAAUAAGCCCUGCCGCACCCUAUUUAUAGAUAUAGAGUUGGCUUAUAUGUCCCAAGGCUGAUUGAAUUCCUAUUCCUAAGUAGAUUAGGAAAUUACACUCAUCCAAAUCCAAAUAAACUUCUAGAAAUCCAAACCUAAAUUGAAUAAGGAAAACGGAAAUUCUUUCAUAAUCCCUCUAGGACAAGAAUCGGUAUAUCUCUAAUUUUCCUAAAACAAUCCUAAACCAACUAGGACAUAUUUAAUAAGCCAAAAUCCUAACAAUCUCCAUCUUGGUGAGUCAAACCAAGUCUUGAUCGUUGCACCCCAUAGUAUCUUUGAACCUCCUUAAAGCAGCUUUAGAAAUCUUCAAGAGUCUUCACCUUGGCAAUCUUCUUCUUGCCUCAUUGCACCUCAAGUGAGGAGGUGCUCCACUUUAAUCAAUAACGAGAUUGAUCAAGUUCCAGCAAUACUUGAACUUCUUGGCCGGCACUAUCUUUGUAAGGAAAUUUGCAGCAUUGUCAUCCGUAUGAAUCUUUUCAAUCCAAAUCUCCUUAGACUCCACCCAAUUUCUGAUUCUGUGAUAUCUUGCUUCAAUGUGCUUUGAUCUUCCAAAAAAAAAACCUUGAUUCUUUGCCAAGUGAAUGGCACUUUGACUAUCACACUUCAGCUUCACACAAUCUUGGGUGAUUCCCAUUUGACUUACCAAGCCACUAAGCCAAAUUGCUUCCUUUCCAGCUUUGGCCAAUGCAAUAUACUCUACCUCUGUGGUCAACAAAGUUGUAAUUGGUUGCAAUAGUGCCCUCCAACUGAUCGGUCCUCCUGCACAUGUAAACACAUAACCAGAAGUUGACCUUCUCUUGUCCAAGUCCCCUGCAUAAUCGGCAUCCACAUAUCCCAACACCCCUGCAUUUUCUUUUUGCUUCUCAAACAUAAUCCUUUGUCGCCAAGAACCCUCCAAAUAAUGCAAAAUCCACUUGACUGCAUCCUAAUGUUGCUUUCCUGGAUUUGCCAUGUAUCUGGAAACAACAUUGAUUGCUUGAGUUAUGUCGGGACAUGUGCAUACCAUUGCAUACAUGAGGCAACCCACGACAUUAGCAUAAGGCAUCUUCUCUAUUACUUGUUGCUCUUCCUCGGACUUAGGACACUAUUGCCCACUUAACUUGAAGUGAGCUGCCAAAGGAGUCGAAACUACCUUUGCUUCUUGCAUGUUGAAUUUCUCAAGAACCUUUUGAAUAUACUUGGCUUGUGAUAUCCAGAUCCUUCCAGCGGUCCUAUCUCUCUGAAUUUCCAUGCCAAGGAUCUUCUGUGCUGCACCUAGAUCUUUCAUGUCGAACUCCUCGCUGAACAUCUUCUUCAAGUCUUGAAUUCUAGACUUGUUUUGACAAGCGAUUAGCAUGUCAUCCACAUAUAGCAAAAGCAAUAUGAUCAUCCCAUCUUGGAACACAUGAUAGUACACGCAACAGUCAUAUAAACAUAUUCUAAAAUUGAUUUUUAGCAUGAAGUAAUCGAACUUCUUGUACCACUGUCUUGGAGACUGUUUCAGGCCAUACAGGGACUUCCUUAACUGACAUACUAGGUUAUCUUUUCCAUAUUCAAUAAACCCUUCUGGUUGAGCCAUGAAAAUUGUCUCCUCUAGAUCCCUAUGAAGAAACGUUGUCUUCACAUGUAUCUGUUCAAUCUCCAUGUCAUGCUGAGUUGCCAUUGCUAAAAGAAAUCUGAUAGAAGUAUGCUUGACUACGGGUGAAAAGAUCUCAUCAUAAUCCACCCCUUCCUUUUGUGAGUACCCUUUAGCCACAAGCCUUGCUUUGAAUCUCACGGCAUCUUGUUCAUGUAGUCCUUCCUUUUUCCUAAAUACCUACUUGCAUCCAACUAGCUUUCUGUCUUUGGGCUUAGGAACCAACUUCCAAACAGAGUUCUUGUAAAGAGACUCCAUUUCUUCUGUCAUAGCACUUAUCCAACUAUCUAGCUCAUCACUUCCUAUAGCUUCUCGAUAAGUAGUUGGAUCUCCUUGACUAAUGUUGAGAGCAUAAUUAACUUCGUCUUGGUUAAACCCAAACCUGUCAGGUUUCUUCUUGUUCCGAUUAGGUUUGUCCAGUGCUAUGCAUCUCUGGAAUGCAGGUGGAUUGUUGAUUGGAGUUCGAACCCUUUGGGAUGUGUGGCAGAUUAGAGUGCCUUCAAUCUACCUUAUUGCUUGCUCCACUUGAUUCCUAACUGGUGAACGAUGCUGAUGCUUUUCUUAUUCCUCAAAACCAUCAGAUUCGGCAUCUUGCUCAAUUUGCUCCACCCGAGCUUCUUCUUCGUCUGAACCGAUUAACGGAAUCUUUGUUGCUUCAAUUUCAGCAUCGUCUUUCUUCUACCUACUACUCUCAACUUUAUUCAGAGGCAUGAUUGUCUCAUCAAAGACAAUAUCUCGGCUGACAACCUUUUUCCUGUUGUUGAUAUCCCAAAGCUUGAAACCCUUCACUCAUUUCUCAAAACCUAAGAAUAUGCAAUGGGUAGACUUUAAUUUGAGCUUGGACCUUUCAUCACUUGGAAUAUGUGCGUAAGCACUACAGCCAAAUACCCUGAGCUUGGAAUAGUCCACCGGCUUCUCAUACCAUACCUCUUCUACACUCUUAAAACCGAGAACUGUAGAUGAUGAUCUGUUAAUCAAAUAACUUGCAUGAUUAACAGCCUCUGCCCAAAAACUAUCAGGCAAUCCCGCAUGGAAUCUCAUGCUCCUCUCUCUCUCUCUCUCUCUCUCUCUCCAUUAGAGUUCGGUUCAUCCUCUCAGCAACUCCAUUUUGUUAGGGAUUCUUCUUUACUGUGAAGUGCCUUAUGAUGCCUUCCUGCUUGCAGUAAUCGGUAAACUCAUUACUCGUAUAUUCACCUCCAUUGUCACUUCUUAGGUACUUGAUCUUUCUUCCAGUUUGAUUCUUGGUUUCUGUUUUCCAUUCCUUGAACUUUGCAAAAACCUCGGAUUUUUGCUUCAUGAAAUAAACCCAAACCUUCCUAGAAAAAUCAUCCAUGAAAGUAACAAAAUACCUGGCUCCACCAUUUGAUUUGGUUGGUGCAAGGCCCCAAACAUCUGAGUGAAUAUAGCUGAGUUGCUCCUUGCUUCGGUUAUCUGCACUGCUACUCGUGAAUGAUACCUUCCUUUGCUUUCCAAGAACACAAUAUUCACAAAAGUCCAGUUUGCAAGAUGACAUGCCUUCCAACAGGCCUUGCUUGUGUAAUUCUUGCAACCCUUUCUAGCUUAUGUGCCCGAGCCUAUGAUGCCAGAGUUCAAUCUUGUCUUAUAUACCUUGAUUUACAGAAACAGCUGCUCCCCCGACUAUAGUGGUCCCAAUUAACUUAUACAACUUAUUGGGUUGUAGGUCACCUCGAAUUACCACCAGUGAUUCUUUCGUUACCCUGAGUCUUCCCUUUUUAGACUCGUACCCAUAGCCGACCUCAUCUAAAGUACCCAAGGAAAUCAAAUUCUUUCUUAGUCUAGGGACAUAUCUAACGUUCCCCAAAACUCGUAUCAUCCCAUCAAACAUUUUGAUUUGAACAGUGCCGAUUCCUUUUACAGGACAUGAAGAAUCAUCCCCCAAGCCAAAUCUUCUAAUCGAUAAUUGGGCCAAAGAAAUAACUUAAAUUUAUUAAGUUUUUUCCCCGCUGCUGACUUCUUUGUAAGUAUCGAACCAUUCUCUUACUACACACAUAUGAAAAGUGCAUUCGGUAUCCAAAAUCCAAUUUGUGAAAGCCUUGGAGCCUGAUGUUACUGAAAGAAACUCCCCGUCACUCUCAUGCUCGGUGACUGCAGUAGCUGAACCUGAGCUUCCUUCCCUCUUGGCUUUCUUCUCUUUCCAAAUCUUGCAGUUCCUCUUCCAAUGAUCGGCUAAACCACAUUCGAAGCAACCUUCCUUUUUUUCCUUUUUCUUCUUGGAUUUUGACCUACCUCUGUUGCAUGUUUUCUCUUCCUUUGUCUUUUCCCGCCCCCUCUCCUUGCCUUUGGCAUAAAGGCCUUGAGAGCUUUCAGUUAUAUGAUCUAGUUUAGCAUAUGACUGAAGAGCUUGAAUUACAUCUUCAAGCUUCAAGGACUCUUUUCCAAACAUUAGAGUUGUUCGAAAGUGCUUGAAAGACGAAGGUAGAGACCUCAGCAAGAUGAUAGCCAUACCAUCAUCUUUGUAAGUUUCUUCGACCUUUUGAAGAUUAGUUAUGCAAUUCUGGAACCUGCAUACGUGAUCUUCAAUAUCACCUCCUUCUUCCAGUCAAAGUCCGAAUAGUUCAUCCUUUAGAAAUAGUUUAUUGGACAUGGUUUUGCCCAUAUAAACAUUCUCCAACUUUUCCCAUGCUUCUUGGGCAGUCAUCUUUUCGGUGAUGUGUGAUUGAACUGGUCUUGUGAGAUGGAUCUUGAUGGAACUCUUGGCCUUCUUGCGAACCUUAGUCCAUGCUGCGUCUGUCAUGCUUGCCGGCUUCUCACCGUUGAGUGCAUCAUCCAAAUCUUGCUGCAUCAGUACAUUCUUCAUCAUCCUUUGCCAGUCCGUGAAGUCAUCCUUACCGUCAAAGGGCUUUAACGUAGGUCCUAAAUCCGCAUUCAUCUUCCCUUUAGACAUCGUAGAACCCCUUGAGCCAAUCUCUGAUAUCAAUUGUUAAAUAACCCGCACACUAGAUCUUGUUCUUUGAUGUAACCAACGGUAAUAGACUAAACUAGCAAAUAUUAAAACACUUAGAAACACACAAGAAUUAUACUGGUUCGGCAGAAUUUUUGCCUACGUUCAGUUGUGAUUUCUCUAGGUAGAGAAAUCACCGCUCCUUUGAUUAUUAAUAGAGAUUACAGAACUUGUGCGGCCCUAGAACUAAUCUCAAAACUCUCGGCUGUAUCUGGUUGUUUUUCACCUCUAAAAUAAGCCCUGCCGCACCCUAUUUAUAGAUAUAGAGUUGGCUUACAUGUCCCAAGGCUGAUUGAAUUCCUAUUCCUAAGUGGAUUAGGAAAUUACACUCAUCCAAAUCCAAAUAGACUUCCAGAAAUCCAAACCUAAAUUGUAUAAGGAAAACUAAAAUUCUUUCCUAAUCCCUCUAGGACAAGAAUCGGUAUACCUCUAAUUUUCCUAAAACAAUCCUAAACCAACUAGGACAUAUUUGACGAGCCAAAAUCCUAACUCCCUCUACUUGAACAUCAUUCUUGGUUUCAAGAUUCGCUCCAAGGAUAUGAACAUCUUAUCUUUUUCUCAAAUAGGAUUUAAAGAGUCUUUGGUGCACACUUUCAUAGACUUAUAAAGAUUGGGACCAAAUGAGACUUGCAUGAAUCCCUAGUUUAUUUAAUGCAUCUGCUCUUACUUUGAUUUCAUAUUAGAUAUGGCAUGCUAGGUGAUUUAUACUCUCAAAGUUUGGUUGUAGAGUUUUUAGAAAUCUUUACACAACACCAUUCUCAUAAUAUUCCCUUCACCCAUAUACUCUAACCUAUGGACAUGACGCAAUUCUACCCAUGGAAAUCAUAGUCCAGUCCAUCAAAAUUGCCCUGCAACAUAACUUAGUUGGAGAAGACUAUUCACAGGCAAUGCUGCUAGAAUUUGAGGGAUUGGACACGAGUAGAAUUGAUACCCUUAACAAACUCUUAGUAGGAAAACAAGCUGUGGCAAGAACUUAUAAUAAGAGAGUUAAAAACAAGAGCUUUGAAGAGGGAGAAAUCAUCCGAAGAGCAAUUCUGCCCCUUGGAUCCCACGUGGCUGGUUAUGGAAAAUGGUCACCCACAUGUGAAGGCCCUUUUCUAAUUAAACAAGUCCUUGGAUUGGGGGCAUACAGGUUACAGGACCAAGAUGGAGAAAUCCAUGCUGCACCGAUUAAUCGCAAAUGGUUAAAGAAGUUCUAUCCAACUAUGUGGAAUUCACAAGUAGUACAAACAGAUCCUGGGAUCGAAGGAGAAGUGGAUAGAACUAUUGCUUGACUUUUGAAUAGUUGAUGUAUAUAUGUGGUUCAUUUUUGUGUAUUCUGCCCAUAUGAGAUGUUUGAAUGAGGCGAAAAUAUGAAAAUGCAAGAUUGGCAGAAAUUAAUAGAACUUUUCAUUCAUAAUUGUCAUGAAUAAAUGACUAAGUUUUAUUACAGAAUAGAUAUUUUCUAGAGGCCUAGUUUCUUGAGAGUCUCUUGCAAUCCAGCCUUCUUAACGGAGAUCUCAAACUGGAGAAGCACUCCUUGAUGAAUGGAGGCCUCUGCAAUCUCUAGUGCAUGCCUUGAAGUUGCGACCAUGCUUUGCAAAAGGAAACUAGACUUGGUCUUCGCACCCAAUCCAGCUCUAAGAUUCUUCUGCCUCUCCCUUAGUACAACUAGUUGCUUAUGGAGGUUCUCAAUGUCCUUUUCUAGCUUAUCAGCGGCGGAUUUAGUCUCCUUGUAGUCUGCAACCAAUGCAUCCAGUUCUAACUUCUGCUUCUGAUAUUCUACCAGCUUGGCUUCACGCGUAGCCUUGCAGGAUUCAAAAGCACUAAAGGAGGGUUUGAGAUCUUCAUAUCGGUUGUGAAGGUUGAUUACAUCUCUGGCCAGACCCAGGCUGAUCUCAAGAAUAGGUCGAGAAGCCAUGUUCUCCUUGUGCAGCAGGUCCAGAUCUUUCAUCAGUUUAUCAAUAAUUUCUUUGUUCUCAUCCAGAUCCAGCUCAGUGGACUGCCAGAUUUUUAUUCUGUCCACCGCCUCAUCCACUGCUUCGGACUUGGAUUUGCUUGGAGUGGAUCCUAGUUUUUCAAUCCUCUGCAGCUGAGCAUCCAGGUCCAUAGCUUCAAACUCUGCCAAUUCUGGUUCAGCAAAGGAGGCUGUGGUUGAUGAGCCUGGGACAGAAUGAAGGGGCAUCUGCAUAAACUAGCCCCAGUUAGGUUCUAUCUCAAACUAAAAUCAGGAAAUGGGAUUGGCCUAGCAAUACUUACAGCCACGUCAUGGGCUUGAGAGGGCUUUAGUAGAAAAUGGCGAUUUAAUUUGCAACCUAUGAUUACCGAUCACUGAAUUUUUAGCAGUCCAAAUUACUCAAAUUAAAAUGCUAAAAAUCGUUUUAAUUGCUUUUGUUUUCCUACCCUUUUUUUCUCGGUAACCAAACAAUCAGGCCAGCAAAACCUCUAUAAACGGCAGCGUGUUAAUAUUUUUUUAACGAAAUGAAAACAAAAACGUAAAAAUUGCAUAAGCUGAGAGAGAGAAAGAGACCUGGAUUUGACACUUCUUCUUGUCGGCCUCGGACCGCUUAACGAGAUCAGCGACGAAGCGGAACCUCCUGCAAGGGUUCUUGAGCACAACUGCAACAAGCAUGCUAACUGAUCCAAGUAAAAUGCAGAGUAACCAUAGUUGCCAGCUUAGUGGAACAGUGCUAGCAAAAGCUCCCAAGAACUCUACUAUGAUAACUUGGAAGGCCACUGUGCAAACCACGACGCCUAGGAAUACCCGGCUGUCAAACAUGCCCACGAAUAUGUUUAUCUUCUCUAUGUCACGGCUGUUUAUCUCAUUAAACACCUGAUAAAAACAAAAGCAAACAAACAUCAUAUGUAUGCGGGAUUCGAGUACUUACGCUGGUGUGUUAAGAUUUCAGAGAGACAGACGGACACAUGCAUAGCCCAGAAGAAGUUAUAGGCCGUAUUAAAGUUAAACAUGUUGAUGAUGCAAGAGAAAACCAGGGUUGCUUUUAACCAGUAAAAUGUACCUGGCAAAACACAAAUGCGUUGAAUAUCAGUGUGUCUAGAACUUCAGUUGCAUCUGAACCAGAAAGUCCAAGAAGCUGUUUCCCAUAGAAAUUGAGAACUCCAAGGACAAUCAGUUGAUAGAUACUCUGGCCAAUGAUAUUCCUCCACAUGGCCUUGGUUAUGAAGCUUGUACCCCAACCAACAGAGGGCCUUUUUAUAAGUCCAUCACUUGGAGGCUCUGUUCCCAGUGCCAAUGCCCCAAGAGUGUCCAUAAUCAUGCUGACCCAAAGCAAUUGCACAGCCGUAAGGGAAGCAGAUCCUGAAAGAGAUCUGAAAUUUAUCGUUAUUUAUUUGUGUCUUUCUAAACAAAUAUAAUGGUGUAGCAUGCGAGAAAAAUCUGCCAGACCAACAUACCUGAGACACAUGCAGAAACAAAAUUGAUUAUUAGAGCAACAACGUUAACUGUCAACUGGAACUGCACAAACUUUUGAAUGUUUAUGUACACUGAACGUCCCCAUCUUGCCACAUUUACUAUAGUCUUAAAAUUGUCAUCCAAUAUGACGACAUCAGCACUUUUCUUGGCAACCUGUAUAUACCAUCCAUGAAUUGGCUAUUCAGAACUAGGAACAACAUCCAAUUAUCAAGCAGCCGGGAGGAGAAAACAAAUCCUAAAUGACACAAAAUGGUAGUUAACCUUAUGCACAUUCAGAUUGCAGGAAACCAAAAAAGGCCCUGUCGAUAAUUAGCUAAAUAUAAUUGAGUAGUUGAUUUAAGCAGAGGGACUUGCGAUUUCCAGAAAUGAGCAACUGAAAUUUAUUGGAAGGAUACCAUUCCAAGUAUACUACUUGGACAAAGUAAUGGUUCAAAUAUGAUUUAGAAAAGUCAUAGAGCAGCUCGUUGAGGUACAUGUUGUAGUUUGGAGUUGCCUUUUCCUUUAGCAAGCGGUAUAUGCUAUAAUUAGCAAGAGGACCAGAGGGAAAUCACAGUAAAUAUCUCAAGUUGGCCUAUUCCCCAAGUCAAGGGGUUUUCAAAAGCAACAUAAAUUGACAAAAAGAACAAGACACCAAUUUCUUUUUCUGGUAAAUGUUAUACAAGUUACAACAAUCAAGUUGCAUUCACCAGCUUCUUGGUAGGAGGGUACGUAAGAGGGCAGUUCUUAUCACAUCUAAGGCUUUUUCAGGUUUUCUUAGGAAGCAGUUCUAUUUUGGUGGUCAUUUCUGUCCAAGGGUAAAUAUGGGCAUGAGGCACCAAAAUAGUAAUAUUAGUAACAAAAAUAAUAAAACAAACAACAAUAAUUCGAAACUACAGCCUUAAUUGUUUUUUCUUCUGGCUACGCACCAAGAAUAUAUCUUUAACAUAAUUGUUUUACUCAGUAACAUGCGCAACAUGUGUCCUACCAUCAAAGAUUAUGUGUCUUGUCAACGCAUUCUACAUGUGACAUACAUGAAAUGAGUUCGAAUGAAAUAUGUGACAAAUCAUGUUAGUAGCCAUGCAUGGAGUAAAUCAAUUUUGUUGGAUGAAAACAUUUGAAAGUUUCAAGGAAAAAAAAGUUGCAAAGUGAUAGUAAGGAGAAGUUACAGGUAAAGAAAUUCCAAGGAGCAACAUAGGAUUAAAUCAUCAGUCUGAAAAUGGGUGUUAUAGAAUAAGUUAUUUGAGUAAGAUGAUGCUAGGUCAUCAAGGUUGAGAUACACACAAGAAAAAGUAGCUGAGACACAAACCUCUGUUCCUGCUAUGCCCAUAGCAAGUCUAAUGUCUGCCUUGUGCAAAGCAGGAGCGUCGUCGGCCCCAUCGCCAGUCACUGCAACUACCUCACCAAAUUCAUCUCUCAGAGUUUUUACCAAGGUGUGCUUAUCCAAUGGUAAAGACCGAGCCAUCACCUGUAUCCACAUGAACAUUUAAAUUUUUUGUGAACAUCUUUAAAUAGUUAUGGUUGAGGGUGAAAAUUUUCUAAUGAAAUUAUUUAGUAACCUGAAUCCUCGGUAUAACAGCUUUCUUCUGCUCAAGAGACAUGUUACGAAACUCCUGUCCUUCUAUGGCUAAACCAUCUUCUGUGAGUAUGCCGCAUUCUUUAGCUAUGGCUUUAGCUGUAUAUAUAUUGUCACCAGUGACCAUUCGUACAGUUAUUCCAGCAGAUAAACAAGUUUGAACUGCGUCCUUUACCCCAGGGCGCACAGGAUCCUUGAUACCGACAACUGCUAUCAAUGUAUAGCCAUCAUCUGGGAUGUCAUUUUCGAUGGAAGAGUCAUCUAUAUUUUUGAAAGCCAAGCAGAGCGUUCUCAAGGCUUCAGAAGCAAAAGAAUUAAUGACAUCUGUGAUAUUCUUUACCUGUUCUCGGGAGAGAAUAACAGAUUCUCCUUUAAAGUCAAUAAAUUUGUUACACAUUCCCAAUACUAUUUCUGAUGCACCUUUGCAAAAGGCGCGUUUACCACCAUGAGGAUGAGCUACAAGCACAGACAUUUUCUUCCUCACAGAAUUGAAAGGUUCAACCUUAAGAAUAUUAACCUCUCUGCGCACGGCAUCAAAAUCGCCACCCAAAAGUAAACCAAAUUCUAAUAAUGCCGACUCUGUUGGUGUCCCCAAAAUGGAGGUCCUUCCAUCUUCCUUAAUAACCUCAGAGCUUGUAUUUUGGAAUAUAACCUGUAAAAGGAUGCUUGAUGCUCCAGAUAUUUCUGAACUCAAUAUUUCUUUACUCUCAUUACCUUUUACAUCUAAAGUUUUUU
rnacentral:lncRNA from 1 species